GUGAGGAAUAUUGGUCAAUGGGCGGGAGCCUGAACCAGCCAAGUCGCGUGAAGGAAGAAGGAUCUAUGGUUCGUAAACUUCUUUUGCAGGGGAAUAAAGUGCAGGACGUGUCCUGUUUUGUAUGUACCCUGAGAAUAAGGAUCGGCUAACUCCGUGCCAGCAGCCGCGGUAAUACGGAGGAUCCGAGCGUUAUCCGGAUUUAUUGGGUUUAAAGGGUGCGUAGGUGGUUUGAUAAGUCAGCGGUGAAAGUUUGCAGCUUAACUGUAAAAAUGCCGUUGAAACUGUCGGACUUGAGUGUAAAUGAGGUAGGCGGAAUGCGUGGUGUAGCGGUGAAAUGCAUAGAUAUCACGCAGAACUCCGAUUGCGAAGGCAGCUUACUAAGCUACAACUGACACUGAAGCACGAAAGCGUGGGGAGCAAACAGGAUUAGAAACCCUGGUAGUCC
rnacentral:rRNA from 1 species